CACACACACACACACACACACACACACACACACACACACACACACACACACACACACACACACACACACUUUUGAAAGUGCCGCUGUCGUCAAACAUUCGCCGAUCACGGAGGCGGACAAGUGCUUCGCGCGCAUCUUCAUCACAGCGAUUGCGGCUUAGCUUGGAUAAGUGACAAAAAAAGAAAUGAAGGAGGACAAGUUGCAGGAAGAAGUGAUGAAGAUUCUCGACGAGGCUGCGAACUCCAGGAAACUUCUUGGGGAAAACUACGACAACUUCAUGAAUGUCGCAGACUACUGCUGCAAAAACUACAUAGAGUCGGGGGCCGACGCGUCCCGAGCUUUGGAGGAGACCAAAACCUUGACCGCCCAGUCGCUGGCCAGCAUUGCUUACCAGAUUAGCACGUUAGCUGCUAGCGUGCUAGGUCUGCUGGACAUGCAGACCCUUCAGCUCGGACGCAUGGAAUCUUCCGUCAACCUCAUCGGUCAGACGGUGGAAAUGCACCGUGAGAAAGUUUCACGCAGAGAAAUUGGCACCUUCACGGCGGUGAGACGCGUCCCCCGUGGGCCCAAGAUUUCAAUGCCGCCCGCAGGGUCGCACCCGCGUCCCUCUUAUGACCGGCACCCAAUCAGCUAUCAGCAACUGGACGACUUAGGCCACGGGGUCAAGCUGAGCGGCAAAGAGCGUGAGGGAACCUUCCGGAAGGCAACCUCGUCUAUCAGGUGCAGCAAACCCAAAGCUAAAGAAGGCCUCAAGAGUGCUCUGGCGCCCUCUGUUGGCAGCUCGACUUUUGGGAAACCUGUGGCGCCACCCACCAUCCCUCAGGUUCCGCUUGACAAUCAUGUCCUGGCUCCGCCCCUCGAGGAAAUCCCGCCACCUCCACCGGACUCUUCGCUAAUUGAUGAAGAGAUUACCCUGGCUCCACCCCUUUCUCCUCCAGAGACUCCGCCCAUUGAUCUUUUUCUACCACUGACUCCGCCCCCAUGUCUGGAGACAGUGCUGGAGGAGAGCAGCCUUCCACCGCCAUCCCCUCCACUCCCUGACCAUGCCUUUUGUCUGCCAUCCAAUGAGGAGCCAGAGCUUCCGGCUCCGCCCCCGAUGACCCAGGAAGUAGACGCUCCCCUCCCGACCCGAGGGAGUGGCGUGGGCGCGGUCCGGCCCCCCGCCGCUCGCUCCGUGUCGCUGAGGGUCCGUUCGGGGCCCGCCUCCCGCCGCCGUCCGACUCGCUCGCUUUUCCUGCCCGCUGUCCAAUCACUGAUGAUCCCCCCGCCCCCCUCUUACCCUCCGCCGCAUGCACCCUCUCAGCUUGCGCCCGCCUCUUCUUGGUCUUCGUCCCCUUCCUCACAUCGGCUCAGCCUACCUGCUCGUCUCCAGCAUCUGGAUCUGGAGCUCCCGUCCCUCCCUCCGCCUCCUCCUCCACCCCCACCGUUGGAUGACCAGGCUGCUAGUGAUGUUUUAGCAGCAGAGGAGCUCCGUGGCGCCCCCCCUAAUUACCUGGAGAAAGUGGUGGCGCUGUAUGACUACGAGGCAGCGAAGCCGGACGACCUGUCCCUGAUGGCGGGCGACGUCAUUUAUGUAAUUCAUCGCCAUGACAACGGCUGGAACACUUGUACACGCUCUUUUCGGCCUUCGGUCCGCUCUACCUGGUGAAGGUGAAUCCUAAUGCAACACUGAGUCAGCCCGGCUUCAACGCCAUGCUUAAGUUCUACUCAGCAACUCAUGCCCGCAAAGCUCAGCAGAGCACGGAUGGAUGCCCUCUUUUCCAGGACACGCCCCUCAAGGUGAGGCUGAGCACCAAGCAACAGCCUCACUUCUUAUCUGGCAGCCAACCCCUGAGCCAUAUGCGCUGUGUGGAGUUGGCCAAUCACUGCCUGGGGUUCAACGGGUGGACAUGUGACAUCAUCAGC